GACAGAGGGGGCAAGCGUUGCUCGGAAUUACUGGGCGUAAAGGGCGCGUAGGCGGGAUGGCAAGUCGGUCGUGAAAUCCCUCGGCUCAACUGAGGAUCGUCGAUCGAUACUGCCGUUCUUGAGGAUUGCAGAGGAGACUGGAAUUCCCGGUGUAGCGGUGAAAUGUGUAGAGAUCGGGAGGAACACCAGUGGCGAAGGCGGCCUUCUGGACAGUGACUGACGCUGAGACGCGAAAGCGUGGGGAGCAAACAGG
rnacentral:rRNA from 1 species